UGGAGGGGAGUCAGUGGGGAAAGCUCAGACCACACUCUGGACCAGACUCCUGUGUCAAGAGGGGUGGAAGGUGGUCAGGUUUGGGGGUGGGGGGAAGAACCUCAGGCAGGUGCAUUGUACUCAGCAGUGGAAUGAAGGGCUUAACAUCAUAUGCAAAAAGGAAGCCCCUCUUAGGUUUUCACCAGGAUUAAAUGGAAUUAGCUUUGUAGUUUUUAUAAUCUUCUUCACAAAAGAAUGCAAUUUCAGUUGCAUUGGCGAUUCUAGCUGCUUUUAGAGUCCUGUCUGCUUUCAAACAGGAAUCUGUCAUCUUCUCCCAAACUCAACAUGAGUUCACUCGUCUGGUUUGUAAGCUUGAGACCACGUGGAGACAGAGAGGUCCCAGGAGCCCCAGCCCUGCCAGCUGCCAGCUGUUGGAGUCCUGCAGCCUGGGCACCAGUCGCACGAGUGAGCCAGCCUUCUGAUGACUCCAGCUCUAGCCAUUAUCUGCCUGCAACUGCAUGACAGAUACAAAUGCCAACCACCUUGCCGAGGCCAGCAAACUCCCAGACUGUCUCUACUGGGAAACUCAGGGACCAGAGUGCCUGCCACUGCCCAGGAAGGUUCCUGACUUCCUCACCUCCCCUUGCUGCCUUACACCAAGCCACAUUCCCUUCGGCAACCUGAGCACCACCUGAGCAAAAUGCGUAAUGAAGACAAUGAAAAGGAAGAACUGAGGAAAAAGCAGGAAUUUCUCUUCUAUAUCUUUAGAAGCAACAAGGACAUCAGCGUUAAAGUCACACAGACCUAGGUUCAAGUUCCCUCCCUCCUCAGCUCUUCAAACCAGGGUAUCUUAUGUUCACUCAGCUUCAGUGUCCUCAUUUAGAGGGGACAAUAAUAUCUACUUCAGGAGAACUUUAGAGAUAUUAAAAGAAGUCAACAUACUUAAGGGAUACAGCACUUACCUGGCUGGGUGGUCAAAAAGGUCAAUAAAUGCCAAUUUCUCUCCCUUUCUGUCAUCACCUACACAAUCCAUGACUCUACGUUGUUUUUUUGUUUUUUUGUUUUUUGCUACUGCCAAUAACCUUAUGUCACUUUCCAAUUUCCCUUUGCUCUUCCUUCAUCCAGCCCUUUAAAUCUGAGUUCUUUUCUGGGCAGGCAUGGGUAUCAAUUCAACUGGGGCGUUAGCUAGUCAAUAAGGUAUAUCUUCCAGGAGCAAUCCCUUAAUCCCUCCAAGGAACAGAGGGAGAGGGAGAGGGAGAGACAGAGACAGGGGGAGACAAAAGAGAGGAAUUGGCUGGUUCAUGUGGUCACAGAGGCCAAGACGUCCAGUGAUCAGCCUAAUGUCUGCAAGCUGGAGAAAGAGGAAGGCAGGAGCUGUCUAUCAGAGGGUCGG